rnacentral:rRNA from 1 species
UACGUAGGUGGCAAGCGUUGUCCGGAUUUACUGGGCGUAAAGAGCGCGCAGGCGGUCGAUUUAGUCGCGUGUGAAAGCCCCCGGCUCAACUGGGGAGGGUCACGCGAUACUGAUCGACUCGAAGGCAGGAGAGGGUAGUGGAAUUCCCGGUGUAGUGGUGAAAUGCGUAGAUAUCGGGAGGAACACCAGUGGCGAAGGCGACUACCUGGCCUGUUCUUGACGCUGAGGCGCGAAAGCUAGGGGAGCAAACGGGG